rnacentral:rRNA from 1 species
CGCCAGACUCCUACGGGAGGCAGCAGUGGGGAAUAUUGCACAAUGGGGGAAACCCUGAUGCAGCGACGCCGCGUGAGCGAAGAAGUAUUUCGGUAUGUAAAGCUCUAUCAGCAGGGAAGAAAUUGACGGUACCUGAGUAAGAAGCCCCGGCUAACUACGUGCCAGCAGCCGCGGUAAUACGUAGGGGGCAAGCGUUAUCCGGAUUUACUGGGUGUAAAGGGGGCGCAGACGGCAGCGCAAGCCAGGAGUGAAAGCCCGGGGCCCAACCCCGGGCCUGCUCUUGGAACUGCGGGGCUGGAGUGCAGGAGGGGCAGGCGGAAUUCCUGGUGUAGCGGUGAAAUGCGUAGAUAUCAGGAGGAACACCGGUGGCGAAGGCGGCCUGCUGGACUGCGACUGACGUUGAGGCCCGAAAGCGUGGGUAGCAAACAGGAUUAGAUCCCCGAGUA